GGUCCAGUGGCGAAAUGGUUACCGCGUUCGGCUUCGAUUGUGCUGUCCUCGCUUCGAGACUAGCAAGAUACAGACGACACCGAGAGACUCCAGGUUCAACCCCUGGCUGGAUCG